rnacentral:misc_RNA from 1 species
UUUUUUUUUUUUUUUUUUUUUGCUCUUUUUCUUUCAGGGAAAAGUUUUACUGAGGAAUCGCUCUUAAAUUUGAAAGCAUAGCACAUUCAAUUGGUUUUCUUCAGAAGCACGCGUCAAGCAAGCAGCAACAGCACAGCGCAGCCAAACAGCCUUCCAAGCAACCAGGGCCGCUACUUUGCUGUUGAGGAGGAGGCUGAGCGUACUGAGGAGCGUAAGGCGGAGGAUAUCCCUGCGGCGGAUAAGCACCAGGAGGAGGAUAGCCCUGCGGAGGGUAUCCCGGCGGCGGAUAAGCAUCCUUCGGAUAACCUUCCGGUGGAUAACCUUGAGGUGGAGGCACUCCAAUCGGAGGCUGACCUUGAUUAUAAUAACUCAUCCCUUGUUCUUCCUGUUCAAAUCAACAACAGAUCUCCCUUCUGAACACAAGGAAAACCAAUUUCAAUCCCGUCGAUAAAAGCGGCCGGAAUUCAGAGAAACAAAAGAAAAAGUGAAGAGAGAGAAGGAGAAAGAGUCAAUGGAGAAGACAGCGAAGGUGUAGAAUGGACAGAGAAGAAGAGUGGGAUGUGAAGGAUUUAUAUAUAUAAUCCGAAAACAGAGCUGAGAUUACCGAGAGAGAAGGUUGUGUUUGUUUGCG